UCUCUUUUGUCUGGAGAUGAGGAUGUGCUGGGACCAGAGAGGAUGGAGGUCUGUGCGCCCUUCAUCCAGUUCCCUACCUUUCCGCCUUCACAGCGAUCUCCUCCAUUACCCCCAUCUUCCCUCAUCUCCGGACAGACUGAUCCUGAGGGUCCUGAGGAGCCUAAGCUGCAGGGAGUGAGGGAAGAAAAGAAAAGUGAGCCCAGCUGUUUGAUGCACAUGUACACCACCUGUGGCCCUCUCUCCUCCUAGAAGACGGAGGGUGAUGGUGUCUUCUCAUGUAUCCUUUUCAGUCUUUUACAUUUUCUUAUAGCUACUUUCCGUUUUUGUUUUGUUAUUCUUUCCAUAUAAAUUGAUUUUGUUUACCAAGUAUAUGUGUGUGUUUGUGUGUGUGUAUGUAUAAAGAGAUAGAUAGAUAUAGAUCUCUCUCUCCCUAUAAACACACACACAAAUAUUUAUAUAUAAUGUUUUUUUGGCUUGGUAUGAUUCAUGUUGCAUCAUUUCACAGAGAUCUUUCUCUGCUUCUCUAUACGCAACACACUCUUCAUUUCUUAUAACAAUAUUGUGAUAUUCCACAACAUUGGUUUCCAUGCCUUCUCUGGCCAUUACCCACUUGAGAGCAUCUACUUUGUUUCCAGGUCACAGCUGUCACAAAAAGUGCUGUUAUAAGUUUUUUGCUGUAUGUGGGGACUGUUUUCUUAUUGGUGCCUUCUCGUUAUGUAAUGGAUUAUUUGUUUUAAAGGCUUUGGAUAUUUUUGUUACUUUCUUUGCAUGAUUCCAAAAUUACAUCCCAGAAUGGAUGCUCUCCUAAUUUGCUUAUGGUUCUCCCUUCAUGUCUAAAUCGCCUACCCAUUUUGGUCUUACCUUGUUGUUGUCAUUGUGCUGUUCAUCCUUCUUUCUGGAAGAGGACCAAUGGCAUCUAGAAGCUCAUGACUUGCAAGUGAAUUGCAUUUAGGUGAGGCAGAGCUGGGCAAGGUCACCAGCCUCUCUCUGCUCCAGCGUCAGCUGAGCCCAGUGGCAAGACCUAGGUCAGGCAGACUGACCGUGGCACAGUAGGCAGCUGGAGACCUUUUUCUGUUUAAGCUAGGGCCCUUCCCUUGUCUCACUUGGUCCGAGGUAACAGUAAUUUAGUGAUUUAAGGCUCCUUAAGAAACGAGGCAAAAGAUGCCCUACUUUGCCUACUCAAUGAUAAUAACAACAACAAUAAUAAUAAUAAUAA